rnacentral:rRNA from 1 species
UAGAGUUUGAUCCUGGCUCAGAAUCAACGCUGGCGGCGUGCCUAACACAUGCAAGUCGAGCGAGAAAGGGGCUUCGGCCCUGAGUAAAGCGGCGCACGGGUGAGUAACACGUGGGUAAUCUGCCCUAGAGUGGGGAAUAACACCGGGAAACCGGUGCUAAUACCGCAUACGAUCACGAUGUCUUCGGGUGUUGUGAUGAAAGGAGCAAUUCGCUCUUGGAGGAGCCCGCGGCUGAUUACGCUAGUUGGUGAGGUAAUGGCUCACCAAGGCUGCGAUCAGUAGCCGGUCUGAGAGGACGGUCGGCCACACUGGAACUGAGACACGGUCCAGACUCCUACGGGAGGCAGCAG